rnacentral:misc_RNA from 1 species
AGAAAGAAUGCUCAACCACAAAGUUCAAAGGACAGUUUUCCUGUUCAAAGAAUUAGCAUUCCCAUUCCUCCGAAGGGACCUGAGCAGAUUGCCCAUCCAAAGCCCCAUCAGGUUAUUCAGAAAAUUGAACCUACAGUGGAGCCAGCUGAACCAACAAAGAAUGCUGCAACUGCCAUUCCAGCUGCUUCGGCCCCGAAAGUUG